rnacentral:rRNA from 1 species
ACGGGUGAGUAAUGCCUAGGAAUCUGCCUGGUAGUGGGGGACAACGUCUCGAAAGGGACGCUAAUACCGCAUACGUCCUACGGGAGAAAGUGGGGGAUCUUCGGACCUCACGCUAUCAGAUGAGCCUAGGUCGGAUUAGCUAGUUGGUGAGGUAAUGGCUCACCAAGGCGACGAUCCGCAACUGGUCUGAGAGGAUGAUCAGUCACACUGGAACUGAGACACGGUCCAGACUCCUACGGGAGGCAGCAGUGGGGAAUAUUGGACAAUGGGCGAAAGCCUGAUCCAGCCAUGCCGCGUGUGUGAAGAAGGUCUUCGGAUUGUAAAGCACUUUAAGUUGGGAGGAAGGGCAUUAACCUAAUACGUUAGUGUUUUGACGUUACCGACAGAAUAAGCACCGGCUAACUCUGUGCCAGCAGCCGCGGUAAUACAGAGGGUGCAAGCGUUAAUCGGAAUUACUGGGCGUAAAGCGCGCGUAGGUGGUUUGUUAAGUUGAAUGUGAAAUCCCCGGGCUCAACCUGGGAACUGCAUCCAAAACUGGCAAGCUAGAGUAGGGCAGAGGGUGGUGGAAUUUCCUGUGUAGCGGUGAAAU